AUUGAACGCUGGCGGCAUGCCUUACACAUGCAAGUCGAACGGCAGCACGGGAGCAAUCCUGGUGGCGAGUGGCGAACGGGUGAGUAAAGUAUCGGAACGUACCUUUCAGUGGGGGAUAACGUAGCGAAAGUUACGCUAAUACCGCAUAUUCUGUGAGCAGGAAAGCAGGGGAUCGCAAGACCUUGCGCUGAUGGAGCGGCCGAUAUCAGAUUAGCUAGUUGGUGAGGUAAAGGCUCACCAAGGCGACGAUCUGUAGCGGGUCUGAGAGGAUGAUCCGCCACACUGGAACUGAGACACGGUCCAGACUCCUACGGGAGGCAGCAGUGGGGAAUUUUGGACAAUGGGGGCAACCCUGAUCCAGCCAUGCCGCGUGAGUGAAGAAGGCCUC
rnacentral:rRNA from 1 species